UUUUCCCAUAGCACUUACCACCUUCAAACACACACUUUAUAUCUUUACUAUCUGCUGUGUUUAUUGUCUAUUUCUACCUUUGUCCCCAUUCCAGAUCAAACGUAAGUGCCAUCAGAACACAGAUCUUUGUUUCUUUCCAUGGACGUACCCCAGACACCCAGAACAGCGCCUGACAUAGUAGCUUUCAGACCAGGCCAUCUAGGUGAUGGCCUAUGCAAAACUCUCCAAGGACAUCGCUUGUUUGGAUAUGGUGGCUGCCUGCUGGAGAACCUGGAGGACAGAAUUCUAGCCUGGACAACCAGCUCAACAGACAGGGCUUCUGUAACUGGGACUGCGCCCAGCUGUGGACCAGCGUACACUUGUAUGAGAUCACAAGCUCUGACUGUGCUCACCUCUUCCCAGCUCAAUGCUCAGUGCCACUGAUAACUUGAGACUGAUUGUGAUGGGAGUAUUUACACCAUGGAAUUCAUCAAACACUACAGAUCGGGGCUUCCCUUUGCCUCCCUAGAGAGCCAGUUGUUAAACAUUUACCAGCACACCACUGACGGUAUCCAUUUACUCCUAACGUCAUAGCUUUCUUUGACUUGCUCUAUUCCUCAGUCUCUACAUAUAUGUCUUCUAGUUCAAUUAAAGUCCUAGGCUUUUCUAAAUCUCAGCUCGACUCUCUUUUUUGUUUUUUGCUUUUUUAAAAAAUUUUU